AUUGAACGCUGGCGGAAUGCUUUACACAUGCAAGUCGAACGGCAGCACGGACUUCGGUCUGGUGGCGAGUGGCGAACGGGUGAGUAAUGUAUCGGAACGUGCCCAGUCGUGGGGGAUAACGUAGUGAAAAUUACGCUAAUACCGCAUACGAUCUAUGGAUGAAAGCGGGGGAUCGCAAGACCUCGCGCGAUUGGAGCGGCCGAUAUCCGAUUAGGUAGUUGGGGGGGUAAAGGCCCACCAAGCCAACGAUCUGUAGCUGGUCUGAGAGGACGACCAGCCACACUGGAACUGAGACACGGUCCAGACUCCUACGGGAGGCAGCAGUGGGGAAUUUUGGACAAUGGGCGAAAGCCUGAUCCAGCCAUUCCGCGUGCAGGAUGAAGGCCCUCGGGUUGUAAACUGCUUUUGUACAGAACGAAAAGGUUUCUACUAAUACUAGGAGCUCAUGACGGUACUGUAAGAAUAAGCACCGGCUAACCACGUGCCAGCCGCCGCGGUAA
rnacentral:rRNA from 1 species